UAGCUUUGGGUGAUCAAAUUAAAUCGCUUCUUUACUAAAGUCAAAAGGAAAAAACACAAUUUCAAGAAUUUAUGCUGAAACAUAAAAAUAGGUCCCUACAAUCUAGCUUCGGUCCAAAAAUUGACUGGGAAAAAGAGGAGACAUAAUGAGAGUGAUCGCUCUCACUCCGGUACGCUUUGUGACUGCGGUAACAAAAAAAAAGGAAAGAAAGAAACAAGUGAGUAGAAAAAAGUUACAAGUAACUCAACAAAUCCCAACUUAAAUCACUAUGAUCAAUCAAACACAUUUAUUAACUCCGGUAAUAAAUCUAUCUUUCUCUCUCUCUUUCUCCCCCUCGUUGGAGAGAGCACCUUAUGCUGAUUCCUCUCCUUGUCUUGCUCAAAUCGUGAACCCAUCCAUCCUCCAAAAUUCCAGAUUUAGAUUUCUGGGUAUACGUCGAUCAUGGCGGUUGUUGAGAGUGGAGAUUCAGGAGCCGUGGUCCAGCCGACGUCUUCGCCCACAAGUCAAGAUUCCGAUGAUCAGAAGUCAAGGAUCGAGCUUGGGGAUGAGGAGGGCCUGUACAGCAAGAUCGGAUCCCAUCCCGAGGGGUCAGAUGGUGGGGAGAGCUACAAGCGUGAGAUGAGGGAGCUCCAGGAGCUUUUCUCGAAGCUCAAUCCCAUGGCUGCUGAGUUUGUUCCUCCCUCCCUCUCCAAACAAGCCAACGCUGGCUCCUUUUUCCCUGGCGCCGGAAAUGUCCCCCUUGAAGUCAACGCCUACGGUAACGACAACGGCGGUUUCCGACUGGUAAGGGACACCAAAUCGUCUUAGCUGUUUCGUUUUUUUUAUCCUUUUUUGUUUCCGAUCGGAUUCGUUUUGACUCUGUGUAGAAGAAGAGCUUUGGUCAAGGGAAACGGAGGAUGAAUGCUCGCACAAGCAUGGCUCAGCGAGAUGAUGUCAUCCGAAGAACCGUCUACGUCUCUGAUCUCGAUCAACAGGUUUUUGGAAAACACUUUUCUAUGCUUGUCCUCUCAAAGACUUUUCUCAUCUUUUUCUUGUGUGUGUGUGGAUGUUGUUAGGUCACUGAAGAGCAGCUUGCUGGUUUGUUUGUUAGCUGUGGACAGGUUUAUCUUCUUUUUUCUUUUUUAAAAAAAAAAACUCAAUCAUUGGGUUUGAACUCUGUGUUUGGUUUAUAAGCAGGUUGUUGAUUGCCGCAUAUGUGGUGACCCAAACUCAGUUCUUCGUUUUGCUUUCAUUGAAUUCACUGAUGAAGGUAUUUCAUUUCUUUGAUAUUCUUUUUCGAGUAGUCGAUCUGGUUUUAAGUUAUCUGGUAUUGGUUUGUUAUAUAGAGGGAGCGAUGACUGCUCUGAAUCUCUCUGGGACUAUGUUGGGAUUCUAUCCUGUGAAAGUCCUGCCCUCUAAAACAGCUAUUGCACCCGUUAACCCGACUUUCUUGCCCAGGGUAAAGCUUUUCUUUUUUUUACUAUGCAAAAAGUCUUGAGGCUCAGAAGACGAUUUGUUUUGUUGUUGCAGACUGAAGAUGAGCGAGAGAUGUGUGCUAGAACUAUCUAUUGCACUAACAUUGACAAGAAGGUGACUCCCUCGAAUUGUUUAUAUUGCUUUACUCAUGGAAGUGAAAGUGUCUCCCUUUCUCACCUGUGCUUGUUGCUACAGGUUACUCAAUCAGACGUGAAGAUCUUCUUCGAAUCCUUCUGUGGAGAGGUGAACAACUCUUGAGCUUGCUUUUGUUUGCUCUUAACAGGGAAAAUAACUAAUUAGAUGUUUUUCCGCUCUCACUCCGGUACGCUUUGUGACUGCGGUAACAAAAAAAAAGGAAAGAAAGAAACAAGUGAGUAGAAAAAAGUUACAAGUAACUCAACAAAUCCCAACUUAAAUCACUAUGAUCAAUCAAACACAUUUAUUAACUCCGGUAAUAAAUCUAUCUUUCUCUCUCUCUUUCUCCCCCUCGUUGGAGAGAGCACCUUAUGCUGAUUCCUCUCCUUGUCUUGCUCAAAUCGUGAACCCAUCCAUCCUCCAAAAUUCCAGAUUUAGAUUUCUGGGUAUACGUCGAUCAUGGCGGUUGUUGAGAGUGGAGAUUCAGGAGCCGUGGUCCAGCCGACGUCUUCGCCCACAAGUCAAGAUUCCGAUGAUCAGAAGUCAAGGAU
rnacentral:lncRNA from 1 species